rnacentral:sRNA from 1 species
UUCUGGCCUGUAGGGAGGGAACAGCCUGUAUGAAGUUAACUGUGAGGAUGCAAGGUGCACUCGGGAGCCUGUCUAGUUUCCACUUAAUCUCUUAUAAGAAUUUCAGGCAUUUGAGGAGGAGAGCCUGAGACAUUUUAUCCCCUGAGAAGCAGACUCACUUCCCAGAUGCUUUGGGACUAUUUGGGCAUCACAGGUGCUCCUAGAACCUGCAUAGAGACAUGGGGCUUCCAUGCUCUGGGAGAAAUGCCGGAGGCUGGAAGCAGCCAUACCAGCCUUGGUGUGCAGGUGCUAGGGACAGGGACGUUGUGACAGUCUCUCCCACCUCGCACUUGCAGCUUUCAGAACCUUCAGGCUUUGCUACACCACAGAAAGUCACCCCGGCCCAAUUGCAAGAGUUUACAACUUGAAUUUAACCCUCCUUUCAACACAGGGCACCCAGACGUCCUCUUUCCUACCUGGAUUCUGUAGCAGAUCCUUUAGCUCAGACUGGCCUGGAAUUCACUAUGAGUAGCCCAAACAGGCUUUGAACUUCAGGCAACCAUCCUGCCUCAGCCUUCCCAGUGUUGGAUGAUUUACAAGUGCGAAUCACCAUGCCUAUCUUCUGUAUUCCUCAUAGAUGAUAGAUGCACAUCAGACCCAUCCCCCAGUUUUAGAUAAAGUUUCAUCUCAGUUUUGAAAUUCAA